rnacentral:rRNA from 1 species
CCCAAAAUACCAUUAAUUUUUAUGAACCCCUAAUUUAUAAUGAAUGACUCCAUAUUUAUAUGGAAGACACCAUGCUAGGAUUAGUAACAAGAAUUUAUAAUUCUCCAAAAUGCAAAUAUAAACCAACAUGGAUAGACCAUUGGUAGUUACCGAACCUAAAUUUAAUGCAAUAACAUCCACAAGAAAACUCUGCAGCACUCACUCGUUAACCUAACACCAGCGCAUUACAGGAAAGAUUCAAAAAAAGAGAAGGAAUUCGGCAAAUGACGACCCCGCCUGUUUACCAAAAACAUCGCCUCUUGACUUAUAAUAAGAGGUCUAGCCUGCCCAGUGAAUUUUAAACGGCCGCGGUAUCCUAACCGCGCGAAGGUAGCAUAAUCACUUGUUCUUUAAAUGGGGACUCGUAUCAACGGCAUCACGAGGGUCUUACUGUCUCCUCUUUUUGAUCAGUGAAAUUGAUCUUCCCGUGAAGAAGCGGGAAUAUUUUUAUAAGACGAGAAGACCCCAUGGAGCUUUAAACCAAAUAACAACUUAACCACUUAUCCCAUAAUAAAUUUAACCCCUGUUAUAAGGUUUUUGGUUGGGGUGACCGCGGAGUAAAGCACAUCCUCCACGACGGAAAGAAUAAAAUCUUUAUUUAAGAACCACACUUCUAGAAAUUAGUAUACUAACGUUUACUGACCCGACAAUCGAUCAACGGACCAAGUUACCCUGGGGAUAACAGCGCAAUCUACUUCGAGAGCUCAUAUCGACAAGUAGGCUUACGACCUCGAUGUUGGAUCAGGGUAUCCCGGUGGUGCAGCCGCUACCGAAGGUUCGUUUGUUCAACGAUU